ACGUGAAACCUUGUGGGAAGCAGGGAGGACCACCUCCCAAGGCUAAAUACUACCUGAUGACCGAUAGUGAAGCAGUACCGUGAGGGAAAGGUGAAAAGAACCCCGGGAGGGGAGUGAAAUAGAACCUGAAACCGUGUGCCUACAACCGCUCAGAGCCCCUUAUGAGGGUGAUGAGGUGCUUUUUGUAGAACGAGCCAACGAGUUACGGUAUGUAGCAAGGUUAAGUACUUAAGGUACGGAGCCGAAGGGAAACCGAGUCUGAAUAGGGCGACUAGUUGCAUGCCGUAGACCCGAAACCGGGUGACCUAUCCAUGGCCAGGUUGAAGCGAGGGUAAAACCUCGUGGAGGACCGAACCACGUUGCUGUUGAAAAAGCAUGGGAUGAGCUGUGGAUAGCGGAGAAAUUCCAAUCGAACCCGGAGAUAGCUGGUUCUCUCCGAAAUAGCUUUAGGGCUAGCGUCGAGUAUGAGUAGUGGAGGUAGAGCACUGAAUGGGCUAGGGGGCAUAGCGCUUACCGAACCUUAUCAAACUCCGAAUGCCACAUACUUUGAGCUCGGCAGUCAGACUACGAAUGAUAAGAUCCGUGGUCAAAAGGGAAACAGCCCAGAUCGUCAGCUAAGGUCCCAAAGUGUAAGUUAAGUGGGAAAGGAUGUGAGAUUUCUAAGACAACUAGGAUGUUGGCUUAGAAGCAGCCAUUCAUUAAAAGAGUGCGUAAUAGCUCACUAGUCGAGAGAUCUUGCGCCGAAAAUGUAACGGGGCUAAACUUACCACCGAAGCUACGGGCUUGAACUUAGUUCAAGCGGUAGGAGAGCGUCGUAACCGGGCUGAAGUCGUACCGUAAGGAGCGGUGGACUGGUUACGAGUGAGAAUGUUGGCAUCAGUAGCGAGAUGUGGGUGAGAAUCCCACAGGCCGAAAACCUAAGGUUUCCUCAGGAAGGUUCGUCCGCUGAGGGUUAGUCGGGACCUAAGCCGAGGCCGAAAGGCGUAGGUGAUGGACAACUGGUUGAUAUUCCAGUACCACUACCAUCGUUAUUAUCGAUGGCGUGACGCAGGAGGAUAGUGUGUGCUAGCUAUUGGAUGCUAGUCUAAGCGUUUAGGCAGUGAGAGUAGGCAAAUCCGCUCUCAUAAUGCUGAGGCGUGAUGGGGAAGGUUCUACGGAAC
rnacentral:rRNA from 1 species